rnacentral:rRNA from 1 species
AGAGUUUGAUCCUGGCUCAGAGUGAACGCUGGCGGCAGGCCUAAUACAUGCAAGUCGAACGGCAGCACAGCAGAGCUUGCUCUGUGGGUGGCGAGUGGCGGACGGGUGAGGAAUACGUGGGAAUCUGCCCAGUCGUGGGGGAUAACGUAGGGAAACUUACGCUAAUACCGCAUGCGCCCUUCGGGGGAAAGCCGGGGACCUUCGGGCCUGGCGCGAUUGGAUGAGCCCACGUCGGAUUAGCUAGUUGGCGGGGUAAAGGCCCACCAAGGCGACGAUCCGUAGCUGGUCUGAGAGGAUGAUCAGCCACACUGGAACUGAGACACGGUCCAGACUCCUACGGGAGGCAGCAGUAGGGAAUAUUGGACAAUGGGCGCAAGCCUGAUCCAGCCAUGCCGCGUGAGUGAAGAAGGCCCUCGGGUUGUAAAGCUCUUUUGUCCGGAAAGAAAAGCGCCGGGUUAAUACCCUGGUGUCCUGACGGUACCGGAAGAACAAGCACCGGCUAACUUCGUG